GCCGAACUUCCUGUUUCUUUGUCUAAACAGCGUUGUGCUCACGCAUCGUCGGAGAAACGCUCUGAACAGCGACGUGUGUGUAUAUCGAGCAGGAGAGCAUGCUAGCUGAUGGCUAACACUUAAAUUAGCGCCCUUGGAACAGCGGAAUGAGAUCUUUGGCCAGCUUUUGCCACUGCAUCUCUGCUUCAGGUACACUUGUCCAUUCCAUCACAUAGUACAACAGCUCUCCUCCAGACGCUGACCCCUGUUUGUUCCUUGGCCCCGACCAGGAGAUGAACACAGCACUGCCAUU